rnacentral:rRNA from 1 species
GCACUUAAAUAUUUGUAUUCAAUAAAUUAUUAACAUUUAUUGUUUUACUUACAAGUCCAUCUUCAGGUGCAUGUAAGUGCUUUAUCCUUCCGAAAUAUACUAUUAUUGUAACUCGCUUAAUUCUUUACUAUUGGCUGCACCUUGAUCUGUUAUUAUUGAUGGUGAGCCCAUAACGAAAUAUUUUUUAAAAAUAUUUACAACGACGGCAUACAAACUAUUAAAUAAAGUGAAUAUUUCUUGGUGGUUAUCAUUUAUAUAGUAAGUUCCCCUAUACGUUAUUUAAGCCGCCAUAAUUUUUGAGUUUGACAUUAAUUUGCUUAUUACUCUAAAGCUACAAUAAUAGAUAGAAAUAGUAGGGUAUCUAAUCCUAGUUUAUUUGUUCUAUUUAGAUUAUUAUAAGUAUAUAGAAGAUUUGCAGAUUAUAUUUCACUAUGCAGCUACAUGUUAUCUUUAUUUAAGGUGUAGCUUAUUCAUAAUUACAAGCUGAUGAAGGUAUGACCGCGGUUGCUGGCACCAUAUUUACCUCACACGAAUCUACCGAAACUAGACUUAUAUUUAUAUAGUAUUUUAAUUUCUUCAACUGGGUAAACAAUAAUUUCCAUGAUUUGCAUGUGGGUAGUAUGUAAUUUAUUGGAUUUCUAUCAAAUUAAAGUAGAUAUAUAAUCUAAAAAGGAAGUAUCCCUUUUCCGG